rnacentral:lncRNA from 1 species
AUUUGGCUGAUCAUAAAUGAUGUACGUCAUUGUUUUGUUUUGUAAAUAAGUGAUUUGUUCAUGCCUUUAUGGUUUAUCUUGAAUAAAUAUCCUGUUGAUAUUGGAACUUAAGCUAGAUCAGGCCAUUACUUAUCCUUUCUCUACUGACAAUGAGUAGAUAAGAAGUUUGUGAUCACUAGAUCACAUUGAUAUAUAGAUUAGACCUAUCAUCUGACAGUACCAAUGCUCACAUAUUGCAAGCCUAUUAACUAAGCAUGAUAAGCAAAGUAAUAGGCACAGUUCAAAAUGAAAUAAACUUAAAUUUUCU